CUGAGCCGUCCGUCUGACACGUUUGCGACACACGUGCGUCUCGGUCGUUCUGGAAAACCCUUGCCGCCCAACCACCCCCGGCCGCCACACCACGCUGCGACGACCGGCAAGAGUAUUUCUUGCGGCGGCGAUAGCUCGUCGACGGCAACCGCUACGUGAGCGACAUGGAAGAUGCUGGAUUGGACUUCCUCCUCGAUGCCGUUGACAGGAAUUCGCGGACAGCCACGAACACUCAGAUUCGGUUCCUCUGAUUUUGUUGGCGAGCGGCGGAGUAGGAGCGACGGCCCCUGCUGAUUCCAAUGCUGGCUCCGGUUGUGGUCAGCAGAUCGGCGGCGACGGUAGCGAAGCUUCGCGUGCUGGGGUCCAGCGACGACCGGAGUCAUCCCCGACGAGGUCCACAGUCCACUGACAGAGUCAAUCCCCAGGCCCCUCUGGUUGGACAAAAAGGUUAAGGCUGGGUAGUGCGCCGUCCGACCGGAUGCCAUGUCCAUCCAGAAUGAUUUCUAUGGGUUGGAAUAGUCGAUUCGCAAAUAAGCAGAGGAAUCAACAAAAAGUGUGAUAAGGCCUGAACUAAGUUUGAGUUUUUAUUCCUUGGGUGAGGCAUACGACUUCUACAAUUUGUACUCGUGGGAAAUUGGCUUUGGUAUUAGAUAUGGCAAGAGCAGAUUGAAUGCAGAGAGGACAAAGUGCAUGCAGGAGAUCGUCUGCGGUUGCUCGGGUAAGCCAAAGAAGGAGAAUAACAAGUCAUGCAGCGAUGAUGCCAUGAUGGAAACUGGAGUGCAACUUAAGUUGUCUAUAUAUUCUUGCAGUGGAGAAGGUGAUGACCAAACAAGAGGCUGUUGAUGAGAUCACUACUUUUGGAGGUGGCAAUCAGCAAAGUUUAUCCGGGCACCGUGCACAGGUGGUGCAAAUGGCAUGUGCUGAAGAAAGCGAAGGAGACACUGGGCCCUCUGUACACGAAGAAGAGUGAGUUCCAGGCUGAGUUCCACGAGGUUGUGAACCACAUGCUAACUGAAGACGAGUUUGAGACAACGUGGGAUAUGCUGUUAGAUAAGUACAAUCUGAGAAAGCACCCCUACAUGACCCAAAUAUAUGAAAUCAGAAAAAAAAAGUGGGCAAAACCAUAUUUCAAGGGUGUUUUCUGCGCCAAGAUGACGAGCACACAAUGCAGUAAGAGCGUUUCCCCAUGUUUGGCUUAUGACAGGGACAGAUCGAGCAUUUGCCGAAGAAGAUUGCUUACGAGAAAAUGACAAUGAAAGGGAACAAAGGAGCUAUCCCAGAGUUCCUGUGCGACGCGAUCGUUGACUGAAGUGGAAGAUAGUAGUACUUUCAGUCUUCAUGCAGCCGGGCCGUAUCUUUUAGCUGUACGUGUGCUAGGCAGUUAGAUUAACCCGACUAAGUAGUUGGGUCAUUUUGCGGCACAAUCCCCUACCAUCUUGUAUGUUGUGAGACAAAAUGACCAUAUGUCUACAUUUGCUGGGGUUUCAUCUAU